rnacentral:rRNA from 1 species
UGCCAGCCGCCGCGGUAAUACGGAGGGUGCAAGCGUUAAUCGGAAUUACUGGGCGUAAAGCGCCCGUAGGUGGUUAGGUAAGUUUCAUGUGAAAGCCCCGGGCUUAACCUGGGAAUGUCAUGGGAUACUGCCUGACUAGAGUACAGUAGAGGGAAGUGGAAUUUCCGGUGUAGCGGUGAAAUGCGUAGAUAUCCGGAGGAACAUCAGUGGCGAAGGCGGCUGCCUGGCUCAAUACUGACACUGAGGUGCGAAAGCGUGGGGAGCAAAACGGAUUAGAUA